GUGGGGAAUAUUGGACAAUGGGCGCAAGCCUGAUCCAGCCAUGCCGCGUGUGUGAAGAAGGCCUUCGGGUUGUAAAGCACUUUUGUACGGGAAGAAACGCGAUCGAUUAAUACUCGGUCGAACUGACGGUACCGUAAGAAUAAGCACCGGCUAACUUCGUGCCAGCAGCCGCGGUAAUACGAAGGGUGCAAGCGUUACUCGGAAUUACUGGGCGUAAAGCGUGCGUAGGUGGUUUGUUAAGUCCGAUGUGAAAGCCCUGGGCUCAACCUGGGAACUGCAUUGGAUACUGGCAGGCUAGAGUGCGGUAGAGGGUGGCGGAAUUCCCGGUGUAGCAGUGAAAUGCGUAGAUAUCGGGAGGAACAUCCGUGGCGAAGGCGGCCACCUGGACCAGCACUGACACUGAGGCACGAAAGCGUGGGGAGCAAACAGGAUUAGAUACCCCGGUAGUCC
rnacentral:rRNA from 1 species